rnacentral:tRNA from 1 species
AGGCCAGUAGCUCUAAUGGUANNCGCCGGUCUCCAAAACCGGAUGUUGUGGGUUCGAGUCCUACCUGGCCUG